rnacentral:lncRNA from 1 species
AGUCCUCUGAACCAUUGCCUUGGCGAGGGAGUUGAAGUUGGUUUUGCUGCCGAAGAGCCCAUGCAAAAAGACGAUGGCUGGGAGUGUCGCGUCUCCAUCUAGAAGAUUAUAAGACAGCGGCAGCGGCCUGGAAGGUGGGGGCCACCAUGGAGUAAGGGGGAGGAGAGAGUGAAAGAAAAAAGGGGCGAGGCCAAAGGAGAGGCGGGGCCAGCUAAGCCGCGUGCGAAGUGGACCAGUGGAGAACAACCCUCCCAGUGCCCUUGGCUGACCUCAGAUCGGCGUUUUCUUGGCCACUACUGCGGCUGCUACAGAACGUGACAGGAACCGCCAAACGCCUGGGAGAGGAGGCACCGAGUACCCCACGGGGGACCCUCCACGCUCGCGCCCAGCGGAGCAUGCCCACAGCCCGCAAAGUGUGCUUCCUAGGGCUGUCCUGCGCACGCUCCGCCUUUCAGAGCCCUGUCUAUUCCAACUAGGGCUCCGCCUUUUCCCCCGCCCCCCCCCCAUCGAGGCGCCACUUUAGGCCACGUGGUCUAAUGUAUUCCCGGAGUCAGUUCAGCCCCCUCCCAAAGCAGAAGCUUCUUGGACGCAGCCGCUAGACGACCCCAGCCCUUGCACGUUACACAUUUCCUGCAGCCACUUUGAGCCUGGUCUGUAGGACUAGCUGGCUUGGUAACAGGCUGGGCGUAGCCAUACAGCGCUAGCCCUGCCCCCUUGCGCCACUACGCAAUUCCUACAGACGCUGUGAGCCGCUUAGAGACCAGUUCCCGACCAGGACCAGGGAAGCGCUACGUGGGACUGGUCCCUCCUCUGGGACAAUAUACAAUCCCCUUUAGAUCUGUGAGCCCCUGCCACGCCCUGGACGGGGUCACCAACUGGCUUGUUCUUCGCACCGUCACUCAACCGUCGUAGCCACUGCCAGGCACCCGGACGUAGGCUUCUUAGCCACACCUUGCGGAGCCACCGGGGACUCUGGGACCGCCUCCUGCAUCAUUACGUAAUUCCCACUUUGCAUGCAUCUGCGAGUUCAGUUCCUUGGCCACGCCCUAUCGUAGGCGGGGCUGUAAGAGGCCCUUGCACGGUUUCGCAACAUUUUAAACUGCUCUAGCUCCCGGAAUUGGACUCCUUGACCACGCCUUGGGCGGAGCUACCCGAUUGUGGCACCGGCUUUUGCGCCAUUACGUAAUCCUGCCGGGUUCUGUGCACACUUCCCUGAACCCCUUGACAACGUCGUAGGCCACGCCUCUUCUUUUAAGAGCUUCUUAGUCUUCUAGUGUUUCCCUACUGGCGAUCAGAGGUCCUCAGUUCGAGGCGCAAGUGUGGGGCGUGUCCCUAGCAAACUGAGAAGUCCUUUCUCGGCUGGCGAGCGGACCCCACCUGGCCUGCUCCUCUGUCCUCAGGCACCGCCCUGGGUGGGUACCAUGCUCUCUGUGCCUCCGGCAUGGUCAGGAGGCGCCAGGAGUGAUUCUUGUUCCAGCUCCCGCCAGCUCUCUGGCGCCUUGCUCCGUAGUUGGGAGCCCUGUCAGGCUCCCCAGAGCACGAGUGCUUUGUCUCUCUGUCUCCUCACAGGAAACACCUAGGAGGAAGGGGCUUUCGCUCGAUCUCCUCACUUAAUCGAUUAACUGAGGUGCAGAAAGGGCAAAGGAUUGGGCCAACAGGCAGAACCAGAGUCUUAGUCCAGUCUUCCGUUCCUGGUCCAGGUCAAUUUGAAAAACCAGGAUUAAACCCUUAGCCAGGGAUUUGUACUGUAGUUACCUGCACUGAAUAGAGAUGGCUCCGGGCCAGGUGUAGUGGCUACAAUUUUAAUCCCACACAUUGGUGGCAGAGGCAAGCGGUUCUCUAUGAGUUCAAGGCCAGCCUUGUAUAUAAGAGUCCAAGAACAUCUAGAAAUGCAUAGAAAAACUCUGUCUCAAAAAAGAAAAAAGGAAGGAAGAAAGAGCCCUCAUUAACAACCCGCCAUUAGCAGAGAGUGGCAACCCUCUGCCCAGACUGCACCGCAUUCUGCACCCAUUUCCCCCAGAAAGCCUGCCCCCUGCUGUCUCCCCUCAUAGUCUAGGGAAAGUCCCCGCAGCCCUCUUCUGCUGCGGUCCAUCCUUUAGCAGUUCCGGAGCUGGUUUGGUCAUAGCAAACACAUCUGCUGGGGCGCCUUCAGGACUCCUUGUUACUGAAGUAGCACUUCAAACCCUCCAGAGUCCUUCCCAGCAUCCUCAGCCGGGCACCAAGCCUCUGGCUCUUAGGUCCCUUUUGUUCUUUGUCAGCGCUGGUGGCCUUCGGUGCCACUAGUUGCCUAGACACACACACACACACACACACACACACACACACAGAUUUAUUUAUUUUGCUUUAUGUGUCUGAGUGUUUGCUUGAAUGUAUGUCUGUGUACCACGCCUGUACCUUGUGCCUUCAGAGUUGAGAGGAGGGCAUAGGAUCUCCUGGAACUGGAAUUGCAGGUGGUUGUGAGCCACCCUGUGGGUCCUGGGGACCAUACUCCAGCAAGAACAUCAUGUGCUCUUAAUUCCUGAGUCUCCAACCUGUCUUGGUUUUGAGACAGGGUCUCUUUAUUAUACAGCUCUGACUGCCCUGGAACUCACUAUGUAGACCAGGCUGGCCUCAAGCUCACAGAGAUUCAUUUGCCUCUGUCUCCAGAGUGCUGAGAUCAAAGAUACGUGCCUACACCUGACAACUGGUUUAUGGUUGUUGUUUGUUUGUUUUGCUUGAUUUUAGACAAGAUCUUAUGUAUCCUAGGCUGGCCUUGAACUCCUGAUCCUCCUGCCUCCAUCUCCCAGAUUCUGGAACCCCAGAUGUUCCUUUUUGAUUGUUUUUGUUCUGUUUUGAGACAGGAUAUCAGUAUGCAACCCAAGGUGCCCUCACAUGUGUGUGUCGGUCCAGAGCUUAUGCAUGAUCCUGUUGCAUGAUCCACACUGAGUGUCCAAGCCUGCAUCACCACACCUGCCUGCCUUAGAUUAUCUUUCUAUGGUUAUCUAUUGAAUAAACGCUGUGUUAUAAAGUGAUUUAU